UUUUGGUUUUUUUUUUUUUUUGGUUCCCCUUUUUUUUUUUUUUUUUAUGAAUGAAGGGCAGCGGCGGCUGCGCAUGCACCGCGCCCCCCGCCCGGGGCUGGAGGCACUCAUCCGCUUCCAGCCGUUCUGCUCACGGGAAGAUAAAUGGAGGAGUGGAAUCCUGGGUAUGGCUGCAUGGGAGCGGGCUGAGAAUACACUGGGAGAUGCACAACAGCUUUUCCAGGCACGUUUCCCCCCCCUCCCUCCAUGAUAAAUGGCAGCCAGACAUUGCUUGGUUCAGUUUGGGGGGAAAAAGAGUCGUGCAGGACAACUGGAUGCUUCAGCAGGGAUUCCUGAAGCCAGGCCAAGGGAGAGCGGGGCGCUCACGUGGCGCUGGCACCGUGCCUGCUUCCAGCUGCUGAGGUUCAUUAGGAGACAGCCAAAAUACAGUAAUUAGUGUUCUAACAUAACUCUCCUGUGCAGGCAGUGCUGUGGCUUCCACAGGGGCAGAGGAGAUGGCCUGUAGAUGGUGAGAAUGAUGGAACCUCCUCAACACGUGUGCCCUGCCUGCGGCUUCCAGGAGUCCCCCGGGGUGGUGGGGUGGUGCUGGAGAGAGCAGGGCACAGGAGGCAGCCCGCUGUAGGGUUGGGCUUUCCCAAAGUCCAGUGUGCCUUCAGAUCCGGGGCUGUUUUGUGUAGGAGGUUGUAGCCAGGUGGGGAUCGUGCCCUCUCCCAAGAACAGGUGACAGGACAAAAAGAAAUGGCCUCAAGUUGCACCAGAGGAGAUUUAGGUUGGAUUUUGGGGAAAAUGUCUUCCCUGAAAGAAGAGUGGAGUCCCCAUCCCCAGAGGGAUUUAAGAGCUGUGUGGAUGUGGCACUUGGGGACCUGGGUUAGAGGUGGCAUUGGCAGUACUGGGGAAGAGUUGGACUCAAUGAUCUUAGAGGGCUUUUCCAACCUGAAUAAUUCUGUGAUUUCUUCCGUGAUUUUGUUUCUAUAUGAAGUCUCCUCUGACAGAUGUCCCCAACAGUGAUUUCAGACAAAUACCCUAAAAUGGCUACAUCUGUGUUCCUCCUGCAGGGCAGUCAGAAGAGACACCCACAAAUGCCCCCAGGACCAUCAUUGUAUCCAUAUUUAGGAAAUUUCCAUUACUGCUGGGGGAAAGGGACUUCUCCUGAGUGAAGACUGUGGGAUCUGACUUGAAGCAAGACAAGAGAAGCAAAGCCUCUGUGUGAACAUCACAGGGGGAGUGUUUUCUUGUCCCACUGCUUUUCCAGAAUCCACACAGGAAUUCUCAGCCCUUGUCCUGCCCAGAGAUUUUCUUCCAUAAAGUAAUGGGAUGAAGGCGGCAAAAGGAGACUUUUUGUAGAGAUGGGCAUGAGCUUCAUCCUGGAGAAUCUGCAGAGUCCAGAAAACCAGUUUGAAAAACACCCAGCGUCUGAUUGGAACCCACAAGAGGUGGGAAGGGAGCCCAGGUAAAAGUCUCUCUCCGCUAUUAUAACUCUCAAACACAAUUAUGAGCAGGAAUUGCACACCCACUGCGUGUCAGGUAGUAAAUAUUGCUCAUCUCUUGGCACUCUGCAGCUCACCUGCCCAGGACACACAUGGAAAAGGUCAGGACACACGUUAGAUGUGGUGGGAGAGGGGCAGGAGCUUUCACUGCCUGGGCUGAGCAGAUUUACCAAGACUCUGAUCAACAGCAUUUGGAAAGUGGGAAUUUUGAGCCUAGGACGUGCCAUGAGUCAACCAGCAGCAUCUCAGUGCCCAAAGAGGCUCCAAGAGGGCUGGAGAGGGGCUUUGGACAAGGAUCUGAGGGACAGGAUAAGGGGGAAUGGCUUCUGCUGCGCAGGGCAGGGUUAGAUAGGAUUUUGGGAAGAAAUCUUGCCCUGUGAAGGUGGGCAGGCCCUGGCACAGGGCCCUCAGCCCGGGCUGCCCCUGAAUCCCUGGGAGUGCCCAAGACCAGGCUGGACACUGGGGCUUGGAGCAAGCUGCUCUAAUGAAAGAUCAUAUUGAAACCUCAUUUUGCUGGAGACCGUGGUCACAAUCCAUGUUUAAUGCACAAUGCAGUGCCCAAACCUUAAAGCAUCACCAGAGCAAUCAAAGAAAGGAGCUGUGGACGUUGGAGGCUGAGCAGUGAGAAGUGCUGUCACAGAAGUGCCAUCGCAGACGUGGCAUCAGGAGAUGCCACAGGUGGGGGCAGAGUCCCACGGAUAUUCCAGGUACAGUCAUGCUUUUAGCCUAGAAACUACGUUUAAAAUCUCCCACUCAUUCAUUCUGUCUUUCACACACAGAGUUCUGUAGUGCUUGGAGAGAAGUGGAUUUACGAACAGAAAAAGACAUGGCACAGAAUAAAUCUAGGUACAGGAAGUUGCUUUAAAUGUCAUGUAUUCCCACAGCUAUAUUAUGGAAAAUAUUUUAUAAUCAGUGUUUAUAUGUGUUUAUAGAUUGUAAAAAUGUCUCUUUAGGACUGAGUUGUGCUGCUGGCACGCUGGGAUGAGCCAGUACCACACAGUGUGGGCUUGCUGUGGUGCUUGGGGUGCCCUGGCAGAUACUGAGGGUGGCAGCACACACACUCACACACGUGUACACACACAGAGAAUCUCUAAACACUCGGCUCUAAACUCUUUAGUAUUUCAAAACUCUGCAAAAGCAGCUGCAGGAAGGGAAAACUACUCCUGGAAAUGGAUUCCAGAUGCCUGCAGAGAGUAAAAACCUUGGGAAGUUGGAUUGCUGAAAGAUGGAUCCCUGGAAAUAAAGAGUGUGGCUGUUGGUGAGAGCAGCCCCAGCCACUGCACCAGCUCUGCUUCCUACACAGACUUCAGCCCAGGCUCUCAGACGCCCCAUUUGACACAGACUGGGAUUUUGGGAAGUGCUUUCUGGAGUGACAACAUGGGCCAGCCCCCACCUAUUGGCAUGAGGCUGGAGAUGCAGCCUCAGAAGCUCUAUGGCUCCCGGUGGUUUCCAGAGCAGGAGGUGCCAAAUACAGACUCAACAUGGUUUAACACCAUUGUCAGGUGAAAUUAUUUCUUAGAGUGUCUAACAAAUAGUUGUUUUUCUCUCAAGAAGCUAUUUUUCUCUCAAGAAGUUAUUUUUCUCUCAAUAAAAUAAUAAUAUAAAGUUAUUUUUCUCUCAAGACAUCAUACUUCUCAUGCAGUAGUUCCGUUUCCUUGCCAGCUGCCAGCCUUUCCCUGAAGGACAAGCCAGGUCGCCCAGGCUGGCACACAGGGCUCUGGUCCUCCACUGGGCUUUAAUCAACAUCAGCAGCACUGGGUAAUUUCCUAGAACCAAAGCUUUUCUUGAACCUUUAUCUGAGGGUAAAAGGCACCCAGAAGUCUCCUGGGUUGAUGAUGGAUGGUGUUGAGAAGCAAACACCCCAGCUCCAAGGGCUCUGAGCAGGAUCUGCAGCCAGCAGGAUGAGGAGCAGGCUGGAUUCUACCACAGCCACCUCAGGGUCUGAGGGCAUCUCCAGACAGCUUGACCAGAGCAGCUCAACUGGAAACAGCUUCUUCAUCAUCACUAAUUUCCUCUAAGGUUAUUUUUGCUAUUUUCAGGAAGACUCCAGUGCUUGCCAGCUGCCCUGACUGCCCCAGCAAAGCUCAGUGAACACUUUUCCACUCCCCUUGUCUCCCCGGGCUAAAUACUAUCGCUGUUCUCAGACUUUACAGCCAUGGAGCUGUUCCUCUACAAACACCACCACUCAUGGCCCUAGCAUUCCACUUUUGGCAGGAGCAUGUUAGGUUUUUAUGGGAAUUAAAAAGCUUGAGUGAGAGAGAGAACCUGAACCAAAGACAACAUAAAGGGCCUUAUUUCUUUGGGUAGCGGCCCAACAAUGCUAUUAAAUAGCUCAAAGCAGAGCAGAAAGCUCUCUCAAAUAUGCAAAGCUGAGAGACACCACACUCCAGUGGUUAGCUGGUGCCCCAUGGAGAAAGGAGAACAUUCCAGGAGGAGAUGGCUGUAAGGGCAGGGCUGCUGCUGAGCUCUGAGCCCGCUGCUCACACCAGGACUGCAUUUGGGGCCUGUUUGUCCACGAGCAGCUGUGCCUGUGGUCCCCUCUCCUCCAGCUCUGUGCCCAGCCUUGCUGUGCUGCCCGAGAGAAAAGCCCAGUGAGGAGGAGUCCCUGGGAGCUGCAGCCAGGGCACCUGCCCAGCACAGCCCAGCCCCAUCCCUGCCGUGGGGAGCUGAGGGCACCCGGCUCACUCUGCUGGAUGGAGAUGCCAGCACCCCAAAGGACCAGAAAUCUUUCUGAAGGUAAAAAAAUACUUAAGAAGUGAGUUAAACCCAAAUGCUCAUUUGAUCCAGGUCCUUCUGGGCCGUGGUAGCUGCGCUGAACUGCUCCCUACAGCUGUGAGGGACAGGAGCCCAGUGCAGGGCUGGAAUAGCUGUGAAAUUCUGAGAAGUUUGGGGUCGGUUCCAAACUUUAUCACUGGCCAAACCAGUGGCUUUGAUGUGAAAUCCCAAACUCUGCAAGCAUCUGACUCUGAGCAUGGAGGGCUGGUUGUGCUGCCAAUAUCAGGCGUGUGAACUCUGAAAUAACAGCACACGCUGGGAGCUGUGCAAGGAGCAGGGACCUCUCCUCUCCGUCUCUCUGAUGCAGACUUCACCACACAGCACUUCUUGCAUGACAGAGGUGGUGUUGAUGGAAAUGUGGGGAUUCCUAAUGGUCCAAAAGUCUUUUGCAUGUCAGAAUUUCCAGGAACUUUUGUGGCUUUUUUUUUUUUUUUUUUUUUUUUUUUUUUUUUUUAUGGCUCCUGUGGCACAGAUUUAGUGGCCAGCAAAGACUCAACCCAGAGGUAGCCAGCUAAGGUGAGGUAUGAAAUACCUGGCUACUACAUGGAGGAAAGCAGAAAGCAGAAGUAUCUCACCUUCUGGUUAAAACCAGAUUGGAUUGAUUCAAGUGCAUCAAAAUUGUUCUUGGCUUUGGACACAAUCUUUUAUGUAGGGUUGGAAAGAAAUGUUCUGCAUGGCCUCUGAGUGGCCACGGUGAUGAAAAGUGCAGCUAAUCACAAGUGUCAUUUGGGUGAUCAGCUAAAGAUCACACAGAGAGCUCCAGAGGGAUGAGAACUGCUAAACCCAGGAGUCUCCUGAGGUUUUGUCCAACUCUGGCUAAUGAGAUCAGUGUCUCCUGAAUCUGGCUGUGGUGAAUUCAGUGGAAAGACUCCAGUUGGUUUCACUUUGGAAAGUGUUAUUGUCUCCAUUAAAGCAGGAAUCCUGUUUGUUCCUGUGUGACUCAGCUGGGGUCAGACAGCAUCACCUCCUGAUGGGCUCCCUUCCCUUUCCCACUGCUGCCUGCAGCCACCUGAACAGAACAGUCACUUCCCAGGCAGUGCAGACACUCCACAUGGGAAUGGAAAGCUCUUAGAACAGGUAGAAUAUUUUAAAGGAAUUCAGGCUCUGAAUUGCCUUUCCCAGGGGUUCCUGUGAGCUUUGGGGCAAUCUGAGAUCUACCUGGGCAUGUGGAACAAACAUCUCCCAGAUAAACAGGGAUUUUAUUCAUGGUAAGUUUCAGAUAACCAUUUCGUGGGAUGGAUUUCCUCAUCCAGGAGAGGAUUUGAGACCAGGCAGAGGUUUCCUCAUGCUCUGGUUGCUGCAGGAGCAGCUCAGUGGGUCUGGGGUUAUCAUCAGCAUGGGCAGCCUGCAAGGGCUGCCUCUCCUCCUGAGGGCUGGCAGUGCAAGGCACAGCUCAAAUUCCUUGGACUGAACAUCCUCUUAGAAGGAUUUAAUAAAUGAUAAGCAAAACAUAUGAUAAAUAUGUAAUAGAUCACUCUGUGACUAUCAGUGGAAUGCAUUGGCUCGUUUCUAGUCUUGUUUAUGGCCAGGUGAUUUAAUCUCUAGUGAUGUGAUUAACUGCUUAAUGAAGUAUUUAUCAGCCAGGUUUCACCCUUUGCAAGUGGAAUACGUUGUGUGACGUGCAACCAAAAGCAUAAAAAUCAAUGUAACUAA